AUCCAGAUGACGAGUCCCAAAUAGGAUGAUUUAAGCAUCCUGGAU
rnacentral:hammerhead_ribozyme from 1 species